rnacentral:rRNA from 1 species
AGUUCUCGUUGAUGAUCGGUGCUUGCACCGAGAUUCAACAGGGAACGAGUGGCGGACGGGUGAGUAACACGUGGGUAACCUGCCCUUAAGUGGGGGAUAACAUUUGGAAACAGAUGCUAAUACCGCAUAGAUCCAAGAACCGCAUGGUUCUUGGCUGAAAGAUGGCGUAAGCUAUCGCUUUUGGAUGGACCCGCGGCGUAUUAGCUAGUUGGUGAGGUAAUGGCUCACCAAGGCGAUGAUACGUAGCCGAACUGAGAGGUUGAUCGGCCACAUUGGGACUGAGACACGGCCCAAACUCCUACGGGAGGCAGCAGUAGGGAAUCUUCCACAAUGGACGCAAGUCUGAUGGAGCAACGCCGCGUGAGUGAAGAAGGCUUUCGGGUCGUAAAACUCUGUUGUUGGAGAAGAAUGGUCGGCAGAGUAACUGUUGUCGGCGUGACGGUAUCCAACCAGAAAGCCACGGCUAACUACGUGCCAGCAGCCGCGGUAAUACGUAGGUGGCAAGCGUUAUCCGGAUUUAUUGGGCGUAAAGCGAGCGCAGGCGGUUUUUUAAGUCUGAUGUGAAAGCCCUCGGCUUAACCGAGGAAGCGCAUCGGAAACCGGGAAACUUGAGUGCAGAAGAGGACAGUGGAACUCCAUGUGUAGCGGUGAAAUGCGUAGAUAUAUGGAAGAACACCAGUGGCGAAGGCGGCUGUCUGGUCUGUAACUGACGCUGAGGCUCGAAAGCAUGGGUAGCGAACAGGAUUAGAUACCCUGGUAGUCCAUGCCGUANACGAUGAAUGCUAGGUGUUGGAGGGUUUCCGCCCUUC